GGCCGGUGAUGCAAAGCGAUUGUCCGUACCAUCUGAGAAUCGGGUAACAACCCUUUCUCUGAUGCAUCUCCAUGCCUUUAAUUUCUGAGGCCA